AUCUGAAAAAAUUCCAGAUAAUUAUCCACAAAAUAGCUGAUCAAAUGUGAAACAUUAUCAAGAUGGUGGUAUUCCAAUUUAAAUGUGCUUGAUCUACAGAAGGACUCUCCAAAAUGCAAAGAGACACACUGCUUCACCACAUGUGCGCGUAGAGAUCCUUUCUUUCCAAUUUUUCUUCACCCAAUAUUUUUCAAAAAAAAUCCAUCUCAUGCUUUGAGAUAUACACCAG
rnacentral:lncRNA from 1 species